rnacentral:rRNA from 1 species
UACGAAGGUCCCAAGCGUUUAUCCGGAUUUAUUGGGUUUAAAGGGUGCGUAGGCGGGCUAUUAAGUCAGUGGUGAAAGCCUCAAGCUUAACUUGAGAAUUCCAUUGAUAUGAUGACCUUGAGUACAUUUUGAAGUGGGCGGAAUGUGUCAUGUAGCGGUGAAAUGCUUAGAUAUGACACAGAACACCGAUUGCGUAGGCAGCUCACUAAACUGUAACUGACGCUGAGGCACGAAAGCGUGGGGGAGCAAACAGG